rnacentral:rRNA from 1 species
AGCGAACGCUGGCGGCAGGCUUAACACAUGCAAGUCGAACGGGCACUUCGGUGCUAGUGGCAGACGGGUGAGUAACACGUGGGAACGUACCUUUCGGUUCGGAAUAAUACAGGGAAACUUGUACUAAUACCGGAUAAGCCCUUCGGGGGAAAGAUUUAUCGCCGAUAGAUCGGCCCGCGUCUGAUUAGCUAGUUGGUGAG